rnacentral:tRNA from 2 species
GGCCCGUUGGUCAAGCGGUUAAGACACCGCCCUUUCACGGCAACACGGGUUCGAAUCCCGUACGGGUCA